UACGUAGGGGGCGAGCGUUGUCCGGAAUCAUUGGGCGUAAAGAGCGUGUAGGCGGCUUGGCAAGUCUGACGUGAAAUCCCGCGGCUCAACCGCGGUAGGUCGUUGGAAACUGCCUCGCUAGAGUCCGGAAGAGGAGAGCGGAAUUCCUGGUGUAGCGGUGAAAUGCGCAGAUAUCAGGAGGAACACCGGUGGCGAAGGCGGGUCUCUGGGCCGAUACUGACGCUGAGGAGCGAAAGCGUGGGGAGCGAACAGG
rnacentral:rRNA from 1 species